UAAGGGAUAUUGCACAAUGGACGGAAGUCUGAUGCAGCGACGCCGCGUGGGCGAAGAAGGUUUUCGGAUCGUAAAGUCCUUUUCUAUGUGACGAGAUAGGGCGGUAGCAUAGGAAUAAGUGUCGGCUAACUACGUG
rnacentral:rRNA from 1 species